UGAACUCAAUAAGAGCAAAUAUGAAAUUAUUCUUAACAAAUAACUGGUGGUGGUCUUCGCGAAACGUAAACGUCGUGAAAUAGCCCUGUUAUUGUGUUAAGUAAACAUACAAAAAGGCUUGUC
rfam:Aquimarina spongiae strain DSM 22623 genome assembly, contig: Ga0070582_106